rnacentral:rRNA from 1 species
CCUACGGGUGGCAGCAGUGAGGAAUAUUGGUCAAUGGGCGGGAGCCUGAACCAGCCAAGUCGCGUGAGGGAAGACGGUCCUACGGAUUGUAAACCUCUUUUGCCGGGGAGCAACGGGGUCCUUGCGAGGGCCCAAUGAGAGUACCCGGAGAAAAAGCAUCGGCUAACUCCGUGCCAGCAGCCGCGGUAAUACGGAGGAUGCGAGCGUUAUCCGGAUUUAUUGGGUUUAAAGGGUGCGUAGGCGGUCCGUUCAGUCAGCGGUAAAAUUGCGGGGCUCAACCCCGUCGGGCCGUUGAAACUGGCAGACUGGAGUUGGCGAGAAGUACGCGGAAUGCGCGGUGUAGCGGUGAAAUGCAUAGAUAUCGCGCAGAACUCCGAUUGCGAAGGCAGCGUACCGGCGCCAGACUGACGCUGAGGCACGAAAGCGUGGGGAUCGAACAGGAUUAGAUACCCCUGUAGUC